GCCUGGGUGGCUCAGUUGGUUAAGCAUCUGACUUCAGCUCAGGUCAUGAUCUCGCAGUUGGUGAGUUCAAGCCCUGCUUCAGGCU
rnacentral:tRNA from 1 species